rnacentral:rRNA from 1 species
GAUGAACGCUGGCGGCGUGCCUAAUACAUGCAAGUCGAGCGAACGGACGAGAAGCUUGCUUUUCUGAUGUUAGCGGCGGACGGGUGAGUAACACGUGGAUAACCUACCUAUAAGACUGGGAUAACUUCGGGAAACCGGAGCUAAUACCGGAUAAUAUUUUGAACCGCAUGGUUCAAAAGUGAAAGACGGUCUUGCUGUCACUUAUAGAUGGAUCCGCGCUGCAUUAGCUAGUUGGUAAGGUAACGGCUUACCAAGGCAACGAUGCAUAGCCGACCUGAGAGGGUGAUCGGCCACACUGGAACUGAGACACGGUCCAGACUCCUACGGGAGGCAGCAGUAGGGAAUCUUCCGCAAUGGGCGAAAACCUGACGGAGCAACGCCGCGUGAGUGAUGAAGGUCUUCGGAUCGUAAAACUCUGUUAUUAGGGAAGAACAUAUGUGUAAGUAACUGUGAACAUCUUGACGGUACCUAAUCAGAAAGCCACGGCUAACUACGUG